rnacentral:rRNA from 1 species
AGGUGUGGGGGGUGUCGACUCCCUCCGUGCCGAAGCUAACGCAUUAAGUGUCCCGCCUGGGGAGUACGGCCGCAAGGCUAAAACUCAAAGGAAUUGACGGGGGCCCGCACAAGCAGCGGAGCAUGUGGUUUAAUUGGACGCAACGCCAAGAACCUUACCUGGGCUUGACAUGUUCCUGACCGUCCUGGAAACAGGGCUUCCCUUCGGGGCAGGAUCACAGGUGGUGCAUGGCUGUCGU